UGGGGAAUCUUGCGCAAUGGGCGGAAGCCUGACGCAGCAACGCCGCGUGGGGGAUGACGGCUUUCGGGUUGUAAACCCCUUUCAGCAGGGACGAAAUCAGACGGUACCUGCAGAAGAAGCCCCGGCCAACUACGUGCCAGCAGCCGCGGUAAUACGUAGGGGGCGAGCGUUGUCCGGAUUCAUUGGGCGUAAAGAGCUCGUAGGCGGCUGAUCGAGUCGGGUGUGAAACCCUCAGGCUUAACCUGGGGUGGUCAUUCGAUACUGGUCUGGCUGGAGUCCGGUAGGGGACCACGGAAUUCCUGGUGUAGCGGUGAAAUGCGCAGAUAUCAGGAGGAACACCGAUGGCGAAGGCAGUGGUCUGGGCCGGUACUGACGCUGAGGAGCGAAAGCGUGGGGAGCGAACAGG
rnacentral:rRNA from 1 species